rnacentral:rRNA from 1 species
UAGGGAAUAUUGCAUAAUGGGCGCAAGCCUGAAGCAGCAACGCCGCGUGUGCGAUGAAGGCCUUCGGGUUGUAAAGCACUUUUUGCUGGGAAGAGGAAGGACGGUACCAGCAGAAUAAGCCUCGGCUAACUACGUGCCAGCAGCCGCGGUAAAACGUAGGAGGCGAGCGUUAUCCGGAUUUACUGGGUGUAAAGCGCGUGCAGGCGGUUUACUAAGUUGGAUGUGAAAGCUCCUGGCUCAACUGGGAGA